rnacentral:rRNA from 1 species
UGACCUACCUUGAAGUGAGGGAUACCGGCGAGAAAUCGCCGACAAUCCCGCAUAGGUUUCUUUGUUCGAGAGGAAGAGAGAAACAAAGCUUUCUUCGCGAGAAGAGGGCGCUUUGAGAUGGGCCCGCGGCCGAUUAGCUAGUUGGUGGGGUAAAAGCCUACCAAGGCUGCGAUCGGUAGCUGGUCUGAGAGGACGAUCAGCCACACUGGGAUUGAGGACGGCCCAG